rnacentral:rRNA from 1 species
CAGCAGCCACGGUAAUACGGAGGGGGCUAGCGUUGUUCGGAAUUACUGGGCGUAAAGCGCGCGUAGGCGGCCUGGUAAGUCAGGGGUGAAAGACGGCAGCUUAACUGUCGCAGUGCCUUUGAUACUGCCGGGCUUGAAUGCACUUGAGGUAGGCGGAAUGUGACAAGUAGCGGUGAAAUGCAUAGAUAUGUCACAGAACACCAAUUGCGAAGGCAGCUUACUAAAGUGUGAUUGACGCUGAGGCACGAAAGCGUGGGGAUCAAACAGGAUUAGAUACCCGAGUAGUCCCUGUCUCUUAUAC